rnacentral:rRNA from 1 species
UACGUAGGGUGCAAGCGUUGUCCGGAAUUAUUGGGCGUAAAGAGCUCGUAGGUGGCCUGUCGCGUCGGCUGUGAAAACUCGGGGCUCAACUCCGAGCUUGCAGUCGAUACGGGCAGGCUAGAGUUCGGCAGGGGAGACUGGAAUUCCGUGGUGUAGCGGUGAAAUGCGCAGAUAUCAGGAAGAACACCCGUGGCUAAGGCGGCUCUCUAGUACGGUACUGACGCUGAGACGCGAAAGCGUGGGGAGCAAACAGGAU